rnacentral:rRNA from 1 species
UACGGGGGGGGCAAGCGUUGUUCGGAAUUACUGGGCGUAAAGGGUUUGUAGGUGGCUUAUUAAGUCAGACGUGAAAUCCCUCAGCUUAACUGGGGAACUGCGUCUGAUACUGGUUGGCUCGAGUGCAGGAGAGGAACGCGGAAUUCCAGGUGUAGCGGUGAAAUGCGUGGAUAUCUGGAGGAACACCGGUGGCGAAGGCGGCGUUCUGGACUGCAACUGACACUGAAAAACGAAAGCCAGGGGAGCAAACGGG